AUUGUAAGCUCUCAAUAUAAAAUGGGGGGGGUAUUCUCUUUGUCAUUCUGUAAUGAUGUAAGGAACUUUAAUUUGACACCAUUGAGUUUGGUUUGGGUUGACAUGGUCAACUGGAUUUUUUUUUCUUUGUCCUCAUAGAAAAUGCGCUCUGAUUCCUGAUUGAACAGUUGAUUUGAUCCUUAUUGCUUCUUUGUGAAAAGGGGAAAAAAGUGCAUUGAGUGGUUCUCUAAAUAGAAAUUCUAAAUAUUCAACUCUGUGUAAUAAUAUUUAUAACCCAGAAGGGUAUGGGUUAGAUAUAAUUUGGUGUUCCUAAAAUACCCAUUAUUUUCAAAUAACUGUCAACUGAAGUGAUCGUGGUAGAGGUGUCAUUUGUAAAUGACAGUUAUUAAUAAUGAUUUUCUUACCACACUGAGCUUGAAUAUGUUCAUUAAUGAGUAUCUUUGCCAAAUUUAUCCAUUUUUAGAAACAUGAAAAUUUGGAUCUUAAGUGAUUAUUUUACAAUUUAAGACAAUUUGGUCUUGUCACUUGUAUCUUGCACUUAAUAUAUGUAGCAAUAUUUAGUAUUAUUCUAACACAAGUAUUUGUUAAGUGACAUACUUAAUGGAUGAUAAAAAUUUUGUAAAAAUAGGAUUUGUAUAGAAAGAAAAUUAGACAAGUUAUAUUUAUUUUAUUGUUUUUUUAGCUUAGAAAGUAUAUUGAUACUCCAUUUUUGCCAGAAUUACUGAAAGUGCCUCUUGGUUUAUAUAUUUACAUACAUAUUCAAAAUUACUAAAAUUGUGUCAUAGAUGAUCAAUAUGUAUGUUACAAUAUGAAGAUGGUAUGUAAUAUAAAAGUGAUUCUGUGGUAUCAUGCUUGAUAUAGUUAUUUGUAUAUCCUGAGUCCUCUGGGCUCUUUAGUAAAAUACCCACUAUAACUAUCUUAUAUGUUCCCGAGGUCCUGGAUGGGGUUGAAUUUCCAUGGCAAUGUUUCUAUCUCUGUUGAUAAUGAAUUUGUAGUCAUUGUCAUCCUCUAACUUUUAACCUCUAAGCUGUAUUAUUUCCAUAAUCAAAUAUCAUCAAACUAAAAUAUCCAACUUCAAGCAUUCAGAUUCAGAAUAAUAUGAAAUAGGUAUUUCUGUUUAUACUAUAAAUAACCCCAUAGUAAUAUGGAGACUUUGGCUACACAGCUUGGAGUAUUAUAAUUAUUCAUAUGUGAAAUAUAGGGGUUUGUUCUGUUUUUGCCAAUAGAAUAGCUUGAAUUAGGCUAAACUUUGAGUGUUUCCUUUAGCUCACAGAGACCUCAGAAGCAAGUCUAGCAUGCAGUUUUGGCCAGAAGAAUUGACAUUUUAAUCCACAAGUAUUAAUUUUGCCAUUACUUAUGAAAUUCCACCCCAGUUCCCAAGCCUGUUAUUUGUGAGGUUCUUUUUCUUCUCACCACAAACUAAUCUUCUUCC
rnacentral:lncRNA from 1 species